rnacentral:rRNA from 1 species
UACGUAGGGGGCAAGCGUUGUCCGGAAUCAUUGGGCGUAAAGAGCGUGUAGGCGGCUCGAUAAGUCUGCUGUGAAAGCCCAGGGCUCAACCCUGGAAGGCCGGUGGAAACUGUCGGGCUAGAGUCCGGAAGAGGCGAGUGGAAUUCCCGGUGUAGCGGUGAAAUGCGCAGAUAUCGGGAGGAACACCAAUGGCGAAGGCAGCUCGCUGGGACGGUACUGACGCUGAGACGCGAAAGCGUGGGGAGCAAACAGG